rnacentral:sRNA from 1 species
UUUCUCGACAAAAAUGAUCCCUCGCCUGUCAGGAUCGCCUUCGGGUGGCGAAUGAAAACUCCCGUAGCCUGCAAGGGAGAGCAAGCAUUGCGGUACAUCUGCCCACCUUUGGAAGCAGAUAUUGUCAGACAUAAACCCCUU